rnacentral:rRNA from 1 species
GACAGAGGGUGCAAACGUUGUUCGGAAUUACUGGGCGUAAAGCGCGUGUAGGCGGCUAAGUAAGUCGGGCGUGAAAUCCCACGGCUCAACCGUGGAAGUGCACUCGAAACUGCAUAGCUAGAGUAUGGUAGGGGCAGAGGGAAUUCCUGGUGUAGCGGUGAAAUGCGUAGAUAUCAGGAAGAACAUCGGUGGCGAAGGCGCUCUGCUGGACCAUAACUGACACUCAGGGACGAAAGCUAGGGGAGCGAAUGGG